CCCGGAGCCCGCCGCACCGGGGUCUCGGGCCCCAGAGCUGCCAUUUCGUCAAUGUCAGCUUUCCACCCGGGACCCGCCGGACCCCUCUGCACACACCCCCAUCCCGGACACCCGUGGGCAGUUCCCAGAGCUCGAUGGAUUGCCUGGUAUCUACAUCCAGAAGUUGACUCCUGGACUGAAUUCUGAACACGACUUACAGCUUCUUGAGCAAAGACAGGAUUGUGCAACAGAAGAACUUCAGACUCUUAAGGGCCCUUCUCUCCUUUUCCACAUUCCUUACUCUUUGGGGGACUGGAUUAAAUGGGCAGUGACCUCACCAUUCAUAGCUAAGUCCUUAAAACUAGACUCUUUGAUUCAUGUUUAAAAACUGUCUUCAAAUAGCUGCUGGCUUUACAGGAGCUGAAUUAAAAUAUUUGUACACAGAGGUUUUGUGUGCCCAUUAAGAACGACAGCAAUGACUUUCCCUUAACCUUUCAAGGGUUGACCAGGGUUUAGCAUGAUGUAAUGUUAUAUAUGGUGAAUUAUUAAGGUGAAGUAUGUACAAUUAAAUUCCUAGAAAGCAAGGGGAGAAUUUUAGAAAAGGAAUUAAAAGCUACACAGAGAGUGCAGGUCUACAAGUUACUGGCUGUAAAAGUCCAGCUUAAGUUCUAGAUGCGGUGGGCCUCUGUUUGGCUGCCAGGUUGACAUGACCUUAGAGAAAGUAGUAAUAUCCAGUAGUGGAAAGCUAGGGGGCAGCUCCUCCUGCCCAGUGCUUCCCCUCUUCCUUUUAAGCUCCUGAACUCUCUAAAGGAGGACAGCGUGUUUCAAUCCUAUUAUUUAUUAUUGUGGUUACAUUAAGAAUGGUUGUGGCCAAAACACAUUUGUUUUUAUAAUUACUGUAACUUAACUAUUCAGCAAAAUCAGCAUAUUUAUUCACCCAACGAAUAUUUGAGCACUUGUAUGGGCCGGGUACAGCGGUGAACAAAACGGAAAUCACUGCCUUCAUGGGGCUCAGCACCUUGUUUUUUCUCUGAAUAAACAAGAAUUUACGUUGUAGGAGUGCGCAGCUGGCAUCUGACGAGCAGAGCCGCACUCAGUAGCUACGAUAGGCCCUUCAGACGCACAGGACAGACACUCCUUUACACACAAUGUUCGGAACAGCCUCUUGUCGAAAUUGGGGACAUCGGACGGAUGUGAAUCGCCUACGUAUUUUGGGGAGACGCCCCUUCUUUCAAAUCAGGGCAUGGAUCUGGUGAACUCUGCGUCCUCUGCCUUUCAGAAUUGCACUUGGGUUACAGUGGAAUCUGGGACUGAUUUGGGAGGACUUUAUCUGUCAACUACAAGGUUAACAAUGACGCCUCCAGGGUACCCUUGAUCUCUCUGAAGAAAACCUUUCGGGCAAAGGUGGGAGCAUCUAGAGCAGUGACGGCGAUUUUUUUGGUUGAUUUUUCUUUGUUAAAUGGCAUUUAAAUAUAUAAAAUAAAUAUCAAAAAUAUAAGUCUUUGUUUUACUACGGUUGCAAAUAUCAAAAAAAUGUCUAUAUGUGACACAGCACCAGAGUUAAGUUAGGGUUUUUCAAAAUGCUGACACGCCGAGCUCAAAAGGUUUGCCAUCACUGAUCUAGAGAAACACAGAACUGGGAUUUCCUUUCGUAUCCAAACAUUGUAGGAACUGUUUCUGUGCUGCUGGCUGGUAAUUUUGCCCAAUAAAUGUUUAUUGUGCAGCUAA